AUUGAACGCUGGCGGCAGGCUUAACACAUGCAAGUCGAGCGGAGAUGAGGUGCUUGCACCUUAUCUUAGCGGCGGACGGGUGAGUAAUGCUUAGGAAUCUGCCUAUUAGUGGGGGACAACAUUCCGAAAGGAAUGCUAAUACCGCAUACGUCCUACGAGAGAAAGCAGGGGAUCUUCGGACCUUGUGCUAAUAGAUGAGCCUAAGUCGGAUUAGCUAGUUGGGGGGGUAAAGGCCUACCAAGGCGACGAUCUGUAGCGGGUCUGGGAGGAUGAUCCGCCACACUGGGACUGAGACACGGCCCAGACUCCUACGGGAGGCAGCAGUGGGGAAUAUUGGACAAUGGGGGAAACCCUGAUCCAGCCAUGCCGCGUGUGUGAAGAAGGCCUUAUGGUUGUAAAGCACUUUAAGCGAGGAGGAGGCUACUGAGACUAAUACUCUUGGAUAGUGGACGUUACUCGCAGAAUAAGCACCGGCUAACUCUGUGCCAGCCGCCGCAGUAA
rnacentral:rRNA from 1 species